rnacentral:sRNA from 1 species
GCAAGAUGAACUCAGGCUUAAAUUAACCGCUCCAAAAUUGUCGCCUGAGUGACCAACAUCCUGUUGG